UACGUAGGGCGCAAGCGUUAUCCGGAAUUAUUGGGCGUAAAGAGCUCGUAGGCGGUUUGUCGCGUCUGCCGUGAAAGUCCGGGGCUCAACUCCGGAUCUGCAGUGGGUACGGGCAGACUAGAGUGCGGUAGGGGAGACUGGAAUUCCUGGUGUAGCGGUGAAAUGCGCAGAUAUCAGGAGGAACACCGGUGGCGAAGGCGGGUCUCUGGGCCGUAACUGACGCUGAGGAGCGAAAGCGUGGGGAGCGAACAGG
rnacentral:rRNA from 1 species